UCCUACGGGAGGCAGCAGUGGCGAAUUUUCCGCAAUGGGCGAAAGCCUGACGGAGCAACGCCGCGUGAGGGAUGAAGGCCUCUGGGCUGUAAACCUCUUUUAUCAAGGAAGAAGAUCUGACGGUACUUGAUGAAUAAGCCACGGCUAAUUCCGUGCCAGCAGCCGCGGUAAUACGGGAGUGGCAAGCGUUAUCCGGAAUUAUUGGGCAUAAAGCGUCCGCAGGCGGUCUGUCAAGUCUGCUGUUAAAGCGUGGAGCUUAACUCCAUUUCGGCAGUGGAAACUGACAGACUAGAGUGUGGUAGGGGCAGAGGGAAUUCCCGGUGUAGCGGUGAAAUGCGUAGAUAUCGGGAAGAACACCAGUGGCGAAGGCGCUCUGCUGGGCCAUAACUGACGCUCAUGGACGAAAGCCAGGGGAGCGAAAGGGAUUAGAUACCCCUGUAGUCCUGGCCGUAAACGAUGAACACUAGGUGUCGGGGGAAUCGACCCCCUCGGUGUCGUAGCCAACGCGUUAAGUGUUCCGCCUGGGGAGUACGCACGCAAGGCUGAAACUCAAAUGAA
rnacentral:rRNA from 1 species